ACGCACGCUGGCGGCGUGCUUCACACAUGCAAGUCGAACGGAAAGGCCCUGCUUUUGUGGGGUGCUCGAGUGGCGAACGGGCGAGUAACACGUGAGUAACCUGCCCUUGACUUUGGGAUAACUUCAGGAAACUGGGGCUAAUACCGGAUAGGAGCUCCUGCUGCCUGGUGGGGGUUGGAAAGUUUCGGCGGUUGGGGAUGGACUCGCGGCUUAUCAGCUUGUUGGUGGGGUAGUGGCUUACCAAGGCUUUGACGGGUAGCCGGCCUGAGAGGGUGACCGGCCACAUUGGGACUGAGAUACGGCCCAGACUCCUACGGGAGGCAGCAGUGGGGAAUAUUGCACAAUGGGCGGAAGCCUGAUGCAGCAACGCCGCGUGCGGGAUGACGGCCUUCGGGUUGUAAACCGCUUUCGCCUGUGACGAAGCGUGAGUGACGGUAAUGGGUAAAGAAGCACCGGCUAACUACGUG
rnacentral:rRNA from 1 species